CCUACGGGAGGCUGCAGUGAGGAAUAUUGGUCAAUGGACGAGAGUCUGAACCAGCCAAGUAGCGUGAAGGAUGACUGCCCUAUGGGUUGUAAACUUCUUUUAUAUGGGAAUAAAAUGUUCCACGUGUGGGAUUUUGUAUGUACCAUAUGAAUAAGGAUCGGCUAACUCCGGGCCAGCAGCCGCGGUAAUACGGAGGAUGCGAGCGUUAUCCGGAUUUAGUGGGUGUAAAGGGAGCGUAGGUGGUUUGUUAAGUCAGUUGUGAAAGUGUGCGGCUCAACCUUAAAAUUGCAGUUGAAACUGGCAGUCUUGAGUACAGUAGAGGUGGGCGGAAUUCGUGGUGUAGCGGUGAAAUGCUUAGAGAUCACGAAGAACUCCGAUUGCGAAGGCAGUUCACUGGACUGCAACUGACACUGAGGCUCGAAAGUGUGGGUAGCAAACAGGAUUAGAUACCCUUGUAGUC
rnacentral:rRNA from 1 species